UUUGGGCUUGCAUACAGACUGCUGCCACGCCAGCUGGCUAGGUUGCUCUUGAGACACAACUGCUCCUGGCACACCAAUUUUGUCAGAAUGGAGGAUGGGCAUCAAAGAAACUCAUUAUGGAGUUUGCUUUCAACAUGGCAAGAUUAGCCAUUUGGGCAAGAAACUGCCCUUGUCUGGACUGUUUGUUGCUGUAUAAACUGGACAUGGAGGACACACAAGAAAGGGACUGCUAAACUUACAAAACAAGACAUUACUGAUGGGUUCCUGUUGAAAUGGAGAAGUGUGCCAGACACACUGUGGCCUAUAGGCUGAAGAUGGAUGCCUCAACGUUUCAGAGGAACUUUGAACAGAGGACUGUCCAGGUAGCCUGAUGUCUCUGUCAAUUCUAGAGUUUAUAUAUUAUCCUUCUGUGGUAUUUGAUAGAGUUGAAGACAGAUAGUUAUGGUUAUAGUUUUCUUCAGUUAUUAUAAAAGAUAAGUUACCCAUCUUUUUAUUUAGACAGAAAAGAGGAGAUGACGGGGAAGUACUUCUGUGUAUGUUUAUCUUAUUGAUUGUUUAAUAAAGUUAUGUUUGGCCAAUGAAACAGCAAGUUAGACAGAACUAGGAGUCAGAGGAUUCUAGGAAAUAUAGUAGAGAAGUGGUGAUCCAGGCAGGAAGUGACAUAGCAAGGAGACUCAUAUUAAGCAAGGAGAAACAGGAAGUGUCCCUUUUCCCUUUUCGCCUGCUCCAGCAGUGCCAUGUGAGCCACCGGCAAGAGAGGGUGCCAGUGGAAGGCAUCCCUAUAAGAUAAGUCUUAUAAAAUAUAUAGAUUUAUGAUAAUUAAGACUGAGCUAACAGAUGAGAAAUCCUAGUCAUUGGCCAAGCAGCUUUGUACCUAAUAUGUCUCUAUAUUAUUUUGUCCAUCCACACAGCAGGUAGAACUCGGGCGGCUGGCAGAGACCACCCAUGUGGCGGUAGGGAUUGGGCAGCUUUUGGAGGAAAGAUUUAUAGUAACAAUGGAUGAGAUAACAAAAUUCUGCAGAGACCUUAUUAGACACUUGCAAAUGAUUUUGAGAGAAAUGUCUAGAGAAAUAAAUCCAGCACAUAUAACAAAGUAUGUGUUGUUUGGG
rnacentral:lncRNA from 1 species